UGCUAAAUUAACUAAUCUUGGAAACUUCUAGACUCUACAAUUCUUGUUGUAUGAGAGUGGAUUGACAAUUAUUCUCUGGACUUUUUGGUAACCAAGAACUUCUAGCAACUAACCCUGGCAUGACCACCAGAAUCUGCAGGGCUGAGAGAAGAAAGAAAGGCAAAAGUGGAUGAAUGCAGCUGAAGAUGCUGUGGAACUCCUAUCACAUUCCAAGUGCUGUGUUGAUAUCUGGAGAUAUAGACAAGAUCGAAGCAGAUGCAGUCUUUCACAUGAAUAUUUGAAUCAGGCAGUAUGUUCCCCAAAUUAGCAAAGUAUCUCCCAGAUUUUUUCUUUGAUGAUAUAUUUGAAAUCCUAAUGCUGAAAGUUAAAUUAUCAGGGUUUUAAAACUAGAAGCAGUCAUUAUCAGAAUUUUAUAUAC
rnacentral:lncRNA from 1 species